AAAUUGAAGAGUUUGAUCAUGGCUCAGAUUGAACGCUGGCGGCAGGCCUAACACAUGCAAGUCGAACGGUAACAGGGAUCAGCUUGCUGAUUCGCUGACGAGUGGCGGACGGGUGAGUAAUGUCUGGGAAACUGCCUGAUGGAGGGGGAUAACUACUGGAAACGGUAGCUAAUACCGCAUAACGUCGCAAGACCAAAGAGGGGGACCUUCGGGCCUCUUGCCAUCGGAUGUGCCCAGAUGGGAUUAGCUAGUAGGUGGGGUAACGGCUCACCUAGGCGACGAUCCCUAGCUGGUCUGAGAGGAUGACCAGCCACACUGGAACUGAGACACGGUCCAGACUCCUACGGGAGGCAGCAGUGGGGAAUAUUG
rnacentral:rRNA from 1 species